rnacentral:rRNA from 1 species
AUUUAUCGGAUACAGAUGGGCAAUGCGCAGGAUUAGCUAGUUGGUGUGGUAACGGCACACCAAGGCGACGAUCCUUAGGGGCUCUGAGAGGAGGUAACCCCCACACUGGCACUGAGAUACGGGCCAGACUCCUACGGGAGGCAGCAGUAGGGAAUAUUGGGCAAUGGAGGCAACUCUGACCCAGCCAUGCCGCGUGCAGGAAGACGGCCCUCUGGGUUGUAAACUGCUUUAAGUAGGAGGAAAGUGCAGCUUGCGAGCUGUUUUGACGUUACUACUAGAAUAAGCCACGGCUAACUACGUG